CCAUCUUGGUCCAUCUUUCCAUUGUUCCAACAAUCACCACUCUGGUUUGGUUGAAAUAAACCCUUAAUUCGAGGGGGGUCUGGCUGCAGACCUCCAGUGUCAGGCUGCCUCCAGUGUCAGGACCAGAAAUAACAAACUUUUUGUGCGUGUCUUAAAGGAGUCUGGCGUAUAUAUUGCGACUAAAAACAACGAAAAAGUAGGAGAAGAAGAUUUAUUGCCGCAGAUUGACUACCAUUGGGACAACAGUAAAUAACAAAUAUGUAUAUAUAGAUAUAGACAUAAACACACACCAUAUGUUUGCUGUUUUACUAGCCGCAUUACGCACGCAAAUUACCGAAUGUUACUAACGUGGAUGGGUUGUAAUUUUUUACGCUAACGGUGGCUAACGGUUGACUGACGCUCAGGUUAUUUGUUGUCUAAAUGAAAAUGACAUGAGGAUAAGUUUUUAAGUUUUUCUAUCCUUCAUUCCACUCAUUUUAUACUUUUACCAAUUGAAAUACAUAUAUUUUAACGGCACUUUUUCUGUGUUAUGUAGAUGCAUCGUUCAAUCUAUGAAGAGGGUAAAGGGUUUAAAGUGGAACGCUGUACAGCUUGUUGUAAGCUGUUCCACUGCCCCCUUUGCCCCAAAUACAAACCCAGCCAACGAGCCAAGCUUCAGCAGCACCUCGAUGUUCACAUUAAAAAUGCUAUUAUAUUCAAAGCCAUGGCAAACAGUUUGCCCACUGGACAGACACAGCAAAGGCCAUCCUGCGAGGUGAGGUGCCAUCAGUGUUCCGUCUGAAGAAGCGGAAAAUGGAUGACGUCACUGAGGGAGAGGAUCAAGUACACCCUGUUUUGCAGCCUCCCGAAGCUAGGGAUGAAAAAGAUGUUGAGAUGAAAAUCAGCAGAGUGGGUGGAAACAAACCAGCAUUUGUUUUCAUCCAAGGUGGAGUUGCCCAGUGCAGUCGGAAUGGGAGAGGAGGAAAUGGAAGAAGCUGCAAAGCAGUAUGCCAGACUUUGGUCUGAGGAGGAAAGUUCCAAGCUUGAGGAACUAGAGAAAGAUGACAUCCGGGAACCAUUUAAGUUCAAAUUCUCCACAAUCGAGGACAUGUGGCUGUUUUGUGAUGAGAUUUGUGACAAACAAGGAUACUUGGCAUAUUGUGAAUGUAAAGUGGAGUAGUAACAUUAAAUAAAAGCUUAGCUGCAACCACCAGCCUACUUUUUACAUUCACAGGACUAAUUGAGGACAUUGUUUUUUGGGGAUUUUUUUCCUGUGUGCCAGUUAGUGUCCAAAACCAGCUGUAAGUUCAAAGAUUACCUCUAGUUUUUAUGUAUUGUGAUAUCACCAUGUUUCUAGUUCUACACCCGUUUCUGCAGGUGUAGUUUUUGAUAUUUAGAAUUUCUGUAAAGAAGAUUGCAGUGCCAAUUUGUCAUUUUAUUUUCAUUAUUUGUAA